CCUACGGGCGAGCAGCAGUGGGGAAUAUUGGACAAUGGGCGAAAGCCUGAUCCAGCCAUGCCGCGUGUGUGAAGAAGGCCUUCGGGUUGUAAAGCACUUUCAGUGGGGAAGAAAGCCUUGGGGCUAAUACCCUCGAGGAAGGACAUCACCCACAGAAGAAGCACCGGCUAACUCCGUGCCAGCAGCCGCGGUAAUACGGAGGGUGCGAGCGUUAAUCGGAAUUACUGGGCGUAAAGCGCGCGUAGGCGGUCUGAUAAGCCGGUUGUGAAAGCCCCGGGCUCAACCUGGGAACGGCAUCCGGAACUGUCAGGCUAGAGUGCAGGAGAGGAAGGUAGAAUUCCCGGUGUAGCGGUGAAAUGCGUAGAGAUCGGGAGGAAUACCAGUGGCGAAGGCGGCCUUCUGGACUGACACUGACGCUGAGGUGCGAAAGCGUGGGUAGCAAACAGGAUUAGAUACCCUAGUAGUC
rnacentral:rRNA from 1 species